UACGGAGGGGGCGAGCGUUAUUCGGAAUUAUUGGGCGUAAAGGGCGCGUAGGCGGCUGUACAAGUCAGAGGUGAAAUCCCUCGGCUCAACUGAGGAACUGCCUUUGAAACUGUAUGGCUUGAGUCCGGGAGGGGGUAGCGGAAUUCCCAGUGUAGCGGUGAAAUGCGUAGAUACUGGGAGGAACACCAGUGGCGAAGGCGGCUGCCUGGACCGGUACUGACGCUGAGGCGCGAAAGCGUGGGUAGCAAACAGG
rnacentral:rRNA from 1 species